AAGUCGUAACAAGGUUUCCGUAGGUGAACCUGCGGAAGGAUCAUUAACACGUAUCAUACCGUCGUGUCAUGAAGCUUGCGAUGUUCUACUUUUGCCUUUUGGUACGCGGUGGGUAAGAACAACUGGGACGCGGCACAAAACUUGCGAGUCAGGAAUUUGACAUCGAGAUUCGACAAGCUGGCAAAUGAGAACAACAAGCUACCCCGAAGACACAUUCUCAUGGACAGAGGUUGCUUCGCUAACCACCCCAAAAGGGCCUCCCAAGAUAGAUUGUCCUCCACAACACCAGCUCGACAAACCGCAAAGUGACGCAAUUCAACCGUGCGCAGCACAACUGUUAACAAUGGAUAUCUUGGCUCUC
rnacentral:misc_RNA from 1 species